GGCUCAGUGGUAGAGCGCUUGCCUUGCAUGCAUGAGGCCCGGGGUUCGAUUCCUCA
rnacentral:tRNA from 1 species